UACGGCCAUAUCACGUUAAAACACCGAAUUCCGUAAAAUCACCGAAGUUAAGCAACGUCGAGCCUGGCCAGUACCGAGAUGGGUGACUAUUUGGGGAUGUCAUGUGCUGUAA